rnacentral:rRNA from 1 species
AAUGAACGUUGGCGGCGUGGAUUAGGCAUGCAAGUCGAGCGAGAACCCAGCAAUGGGGGACAGCGGCGCAAGGGACAGUAAUGUGUAGAUCAUCUGCCCUUCGGACCGGGAUAGCCGCGGGAAACUGCGGGUAAUACCGGAUAACAUCUCCGGAUCAAAGGUGUGAUUCCGCCGAAGGAUGAGUCUACAUCCUAUUAGCUAGUUGGUAGGGUAAUGGCCUACCAAGGCAAUGAUGGGUAGCGGGUGUGAGAGCACGACCCGCGUCAUUGGGACUGAGACACUGCCCAGACACCUACGGGUGGCUGCAGUCGAGAAUCUUCGGCAAUGGGCGCAAGCCUGACCGAGCGACGCCGCGUGCGGGAUGAAGGCCUUCGGGUUGUAAACCGCUGUCAGAGGGGAUGAAAUGCAGGUGGGUUCUCCCAUCUGUUUGACAUAGCCUCAGAGGAAGGACGGGCUAAGUUCGUGCCAGCCGCCGCGGUAAAAC